UACGGAGGGAGCUAGCGUUAUUCGGAAUCACUGGGCGUAAAGGGUGUGUAGGCUGUGCGUUAAGUCAGAUGUGAAAGCCCAGGGCUCAACCUUGGAACUGCAUCCGAUACUGGCGUGCUAGAGAAUUGGAGAGGAGUCUAGAAUUCACGGUGUAGCAGUGAAAUGCGUAGAUAUCGUGAGGAAUACCAAGUGCGAAGGCAGGACUCUGGACAUUUUCUGACGCUGAGACACGAAGGCUAGGGGAGCAAACGGG
rnacentral:rRNA from 1 species